CUUUUUGGAAUUCCAUCACUCACCUCAACAGGAUUCCUUGGGACAAGAAAAUGAUGCCCACAGCAUGCAGGGAAAUCAUGGUAGCUGCACUGAGGGGAAGAAAAACAGAGCCCAGAAACCAGCUGUCAUGUAAAAGAUCCAGAUCAACAUGUAUGAGACUACUAUGCUGUAAAUACCUGGUCACAGGGAAAGGCCACAUGGACCAUAUAUGUAAAUUAAUGCUAGUGAGUGAUCAUAGUUGAUUCCACAUCAAGCAAACAUCAGCUGAAACUAUUGUCUCACAGAAUCAACAAUAAAUUGUGUUUUUUAAGUCA